CGUGCUUAACACAUGCAAGUCGAACGAUGAAGCCUAGCUUGCUAGGUGGAUUAGUGGCGCACGGGUGAGUAAUAUAUAGAUAACGUGCCUCUUAGUCUGGGAUAGCCAUUGGAAACGAUGAUUAAUACUGGAUACUCCUUCUCUUUAUAAUUAGAGUUGGGAAAGUUUUUCGCUAAGAGAUCGGUCUAUAUCCCAUCAGCUAGUUGGUAGUGUAAGAGACUACCAAGGCAAUGACGGGUAGCGGGUUUGAGAGGAUGAUCCGCCACACUGGUACUGAGACACGGACCAGACUCCUACGGGAGGCAGCAGUGAGGAAUAUUGCACAGUGGAGGAAACUCUGAUGCAGCAACGCCGCGUGGAGGAUGACGCAUUUCGGUGUGUAAACUCCUUUUAUCAAGGAAGAAAAUGACGGUACUUGAUGAAUAAGCACCGGCUAACUCCGUGCCAGCAGCCGCGGUAAUACGGAGGGUGCAAGCGUUACUCGGAAUCACUGGGCGUAAAGGACACGUAGGCGGGAAGCCAAGUCUGAUGUGAAAUCCUACAGCUUAACUGUAGAACUGCAUUGGAAACUGGUUACCUAGAGUAUGGGAGGGGGAGAUGGAAUUAGUGGUGUAGGGGUAAAAUCCGUAGAUAUCACUAGGAAUACCGAAAGCGAAGGCGAUCUCCUGGAACAAUACUGACGCUAAGGUGUGAAAGCGUGGGGAGCAAACGGGAUUAGAUACCCCGGUAGUCCACGCCCUAAACGAUGAACACUAGUCGUCGGGAUGCUAGUCAUCUCGGUGAUGCACUUAACAGAUUAAGUGUUCCGCCUGGGGAGUGCGGUCGCAAGAUUAAAACUCAAAGGAAUAGACGGGGACCCGCACAAGUGGUGGAGCAUGUGGUUUAAUUCGAAGAUACGCGAAGAACCUUACCUAGCCUUGACAUUGAAAGAACACUUUAGAGAUAGAGUGGUGCCCUUCGGGGAACUUGAAAACAGGUGCUGCACGGCUGUCGUCAGCUCGUGUCGUGAGAUGU
rnacentral:rRNA from 1 species